UUCAGGAACCAUAAUCGAUAGCUGUUCACAUGUAUCGAUUGGUAUUAAUGGCUCUUAUAGUUUCUGAUAAUUCUUGUACCAACAGUGAAAAAUGAGCAAUUUUGUUCAAUUUUGCUUUUAUUUUUUAUUUUGUAAUCUAUAUCCUGUUUUAAAAUUUAUACACCUUUGCCCUGUGUCGUUGGACCCAAGAGGACGACGGCGGCAUUAAUACAACAAAACAGCAGCGUCGAUCCAGAGCAACUGCGGCCGCUCGCCUAUCUCCAGAAAUACCGCGGCGGCGUAUGUCUGCAUCAGAAUUUAGAGAUUCAGAUGAGUGUAGGAGGUGAGGCGCGAACUCGCCGGAUUUUAUGAAGGUAGCGUCGAUUUUGGAAGAAAUAGGGCUAGGGCUUCUAUCCUCUUUUGUGUGUGAAGGUGAAUCUGCCCUUGAAAGAGAGUGAGUCGAAGAGUUAGGGAGAGGGAGAGGCGCCAAUGGCGAUGACCAUGGCGGCCGGCGACUGAAGCAAUAAAGAACCCCGACGGAGCGGCGAUUUCAGAGGACGAAGCUAGGGCUCGAUUCUUUUGAAUCUGUGUACUUUAAAAUUUUGAGAAUUUGAGAAAGAUUGAGAGAGGGCGGACGAUGGGGCUGGAGUCAGAGGCGGUGGGGAAAGCCGACCUCGCCGGAGGGAGGCGGCGGGUUACUGGAGUGAGAGGCGAACACGAUGAGAGAGAGGGAGAGGG
rnacentral:lncRNA from 1 species